CCUUCCCAUCGAUUUAGCUCGCCCAUAACCUGUUUGUGUCGGAUCCGCCCUACCCAAACUGAAUCAUAUGUGUUUGCUUUGAUUCAGUUUUGCAGAUGCUACGAGUUGCUAUUCCCGCCGUGCUGGUGCACUCCGCCGGAGCUCCAGAAACCGUCCAGGUCGCCAGGUUGCUGCUGCCGGUGUCCACCACGACCUGCUGCACCAUGGCGUUGCUCCGUCCGUCGGAAGGAGGAGAGCAUGAGGAUGAGCACAAGCAGCUGGCACAAAGGCAGGUAGUCCCAAGGUGUUUUUCUUGCUGGGUAAUGAAUGAGGCAUACACUUGUGUUUGUUAGCAGCUGGCUUUAAGGGGUUCCUUUCCUGACCUGAUGAUGGCUUGUUCUUGUUUGAAGAUAACGAGGACUAAACAAUGGCAGCGGUGUGCUUUUUCUUGGACUCCAUUUGUCCCAAUCACCAAAAAAAUUUUCCUUGUGGCUUUUUAUGCUGGGAUUGAACGUUGAACAUAGUUGUUUAGAGCAUUCAGUGCGAAAUUCAUAUCUGCAUCUAAGGAGCCCUCACAGUAUUGUUGCUGUUUGUCAUUUCUCAGGUUGUUCUUCACUAAUCAUAUCAAUGUUAGAUCUGGAGAGCUCUUUCAACAUUCAUUGCAUUGAUUUUUAUUUGACACCUGAACUUUUAAAUAUGCGCAAAUACAAUGAUGACAAGUGCGUAUGAUUUCAGAACUUCUGCAUGUGUGUCUCGUUUUUUGGUUGAUGUUUCAAAGCCGACGUGUGGCUGCUUGUGGCACCCUACUUUGUUUUGCAAUUACACGCAUAGUUGAUAAUAGGUUGGAUUCUUCUUACCUGAUGAUGCUAGCGGUACCUUGUGUUGUGACGCAAGUGGUUUUCUUAUUUACAGUGCAAUGAAACUGCUAGGGUUGGCUGUCAUACUCUUCUUGAUAGUUUAUCAAGGUUGGUGGUGAAACUGUUGCAUGUGUGUGUGUGGCGCUAGUAGGUACCAAGCUAAUUAUCUGAAUCCCAUAUGCAUAGGGUAAUUACAGUAGCUUGUGUACAUUGUUAUUUGAUGCCUAAGCAUAGAAGCUGAACCACUUGCGUUUAUGUGGUGAUUGCUUCCCUGGGUGCUCUCUGAUAUAUAUAUAUAUAUAUGGUGACAAUGCAUCGGGAUUUCAGAUCCAAUAAUAGAAGCAUUUGUCUGUUGAUGUGUUUUAUUUAACUGUCUUGGGAUGGAUUUGCGUUGCUUUUUUGCAUCAGCAUUCGGUGAUGUUUGUUGUUUUUGGUGGUGUGAAAACUUUCGUUCAUGUUUUGGGUUGUGUUGCACGAGUAUAGUAGUAUUACUGUGUGAAUUGAAGCGUAUAUAUGUUCUCUCUACAGGUUGAAUGUCUAAAAAAGGGGAUGGUCUUGGCCUCGCGCGUGGCGGUCUGGUCCACCGAGUCCUCUGGCUAAUUUGGUCAGGCCGUUCAGGCUGUGGUGGUGCACCGUGGUUGUCCCUUCUUUGACUCCAUGUGUUUUAUGGGGGAGUUUCUUGCUCCUCUCUGUGAUCUCUAAAUCUUGUUUAGUAUUUGGACCUCAAAUAUGUGUGAAGUCUGAAUUGCUUUCUUGGAUAUAGUGGAUGUACUUGCUUGUGUGAAACGAAUCGUGCUCCUGCACCUAAAGAAUGCGUUUUCCGUUUGCUUGUUCUAGUUAGGUGCAUAUCUUGUAUGUUGGACCGCAGGUUGGAUCCUCCUAUGCUGGUUCCGUUCCGCCAUGUAGACAUGUUGAUAGUUGUUGUCCACAAAAAAUGAUUUAUUUGCUUCAAUGGUGAAUUGAUUGGUUAUGUAGACAUGUUCAUUGGUUGGGACUUAAUUUUUUAGUAGUUGUCAUAUACUUUUGUUGGAGCACGCUGAACAUUGGCCAACAAUAUAUGCUCAUGUUGGGUUGGUCGUUGUGCUUUGUUUGCAUAUUUUGAGUAUUAUCCUCCUUUGUGAUUUACUGCAGGAGGAGCACAAGCUGCUGGCACAAAGGCAGGUAGUCCCAAGGUAUUUUUAUUGCUGGGUUGAAUGUCUAAAAAAGGGGCUAGGUCAUGCCGACAUUUUCCAUUACAUGCAGAGGGAGAUGACGAAUCUUGGCUGCACAGUCUGGAUCAAGGAGUGGCUGGAGCUGGGCAAGGGUGGCACGACGCUGAUCCCGAGGCAG